rnacentral:rRNA from 1 species
AUGGAUGUGAAGAGCGCAUUUCUCAAUGGAAAGAUUGAAGAAGAAGUGUAUGUUGCACAACUGCCUGGCUUUGAAGAUCCAAAACAUCCUGACAUGGUAUACAAGCUCAACAAGGCACUGUAUGGCCUCAAACAAGCCCCUCGGGCUUGGUAUGACACACUCAAAUACUUCCUGAAGAGCAAAGGCUUCACACCUGGUUCCCUCAACCCCACUCUCUUCACGAAGACAUAUGAUGGUGAACUAUUUGUGUGCCAAAUAUAUGUGGAUGACAUUAUCUUCGGCUGCACCAAUCAGAAAUACAGUGAAGAAUUUGGAUAUAUGAUGCAAGAGCAAUACCAGAUGUUCAUGAUGGGAGAGCUGAAGUUCUUCCUUGGUCUUCAAAUACGACAGCAACGCAACGACAUCUUUAUAUCUCAAGAGAAGUAUCUCAAAGAUUGCCUGAAGAAGUUCGGUAUGCAAGACUGCAAAGGCUUCACGACGCCAAUGCCAGCCAAACAUCAUCUGGGUCCCGACGACAAUGGUAAAGAGUUCGAUCAAAAGGUAUACCGCUCCAUGAUUGGUUCUUUAGUUUAUCUAUGUGCAUCUAGGCCAGAUAUUAUGCUUAGUGUUUGCAUGUGUGCUCGAUUCCAAGCGGCACCAAAGGAAUCGCAUCACUUAGCUGUGAAGCGAAUUCUUUGA